UGGGAAUAUUGGACAAUGGGGGCAACCCUGAUCCAGCCAUGCCGCGUGAGUGAAGAAGGCCCUCGGGUUGUAAAGCUCUUUUGUCCGGAAAGAAAAGCAUUCGGUGAAUACCCGGAUGUUCUGACGGUACCGGAAGAAUAAGCACCGGCUAACUUCGUGCCAGCAGCCGCGGUAAUACGAAGGGUGCAAGCGUUACUCGGAAUUACUGGGCGUAAAGCGUGCGUAGGUGGUUGUUUAAGUCUGAUGUGAAAGCCCUGGGCUCAACCUGGGAAUGGCAUCGGAAACUGGGCAGCUAGAGUGCGGUAGAGGGUAGUGGAAUUCCCGGUGUAGCAGUAAAAUGCGUAGAGAUCGGGAGGAACAGCUGUGGCGAAGGCGACUGCCUGGACCAGCACUGACACUGAGGCACGAAAGCGUGGGGAGCAAACA
rnacentral:rRNA from 1 species